UUGGAUAGUCUGCUCCCUUAGCCGAUUUACCUAAUCCUUUCGUGGUAUGGUAUCCGGCCGAUCGGUAUAGCUGAAAACGGCUAUAUCUCCCUUCUGGAAAGGAGCAAUAUUUCAAGCAGU
rnacentral:ncRNA from 2 species